rnacentral:ncRNA from 1 species
CGCUAGGGGAGCUUUGGCUGAGACUGAAAAGAUUCGUUCCUUUCUGACCCUCAAUACUUGAACCGGUUAAUGCCGGCGUAAGGAAGCAU